rnacentral:rRNA from 1 species
GACGAACGCUGGCGGCGUGCUUAACACAUGCAAGUCGAACGGAAAGGCCCUGCUUUUGUGGUGUGCUCGAGUGGCGAACGGGUGAGUAACACGUGAGUAACCUGCCCUUGACUUUGGGAUAACUUCAGGAAACUGGGGCUAAUACCGGAUAGGAGCUCCUGCUGCAUGGUGGGGGUUGGAAAGUUUCGGCGGUUGGGGAUGGACUCGCGGCUUAUCAGCUUGUUGGUGGGGUAGUGGCUUACCAAGGCUUUGACGGGUAGCCGGCCUGAGAGGGUGACCGGCCACAUUGGGACUGAGAUACGGCCAAGACUCCUACGGGAGGCAGCAGUGGGGAAUAUUGCACAAUGGGCGGAAGCCUGAUGCAGCAACGCCGCGUGCGGGAUGACGGCCUUCGGGUUGUAAACCGCUUUCGCCUGUGACGAAGCGUGAGUGACGGUAAUGGGUAAAGAAGCACCGGCUAACUACGUG